UAGUCCUAGCUGUAAACGAUGGGUACUGGGCAAUGGUCGUCCGAUGCGAUCGUUGUCGAAGCUAAUGUGCUAAGUACCCCGCCUGGGGAGUACGGCCGCAAGGCUGAAACUCAAAGGAGUUGACGGGGGCUCACACAAGCGGUGGAGCAUGUGGUUUAAUUCGAUGCAACGCGAAGAACCUUACCUGCCUUUGACAUUGACAGAACCCUCUAGAGAUAGAGGGGUGCCUUCGGGCCUGGAAAACAGGUGCUGCAUGGCUGUCGUCAGCUCGUGUCGUGAGAUGUUGGGUUAAGUCCCGUAACGAGCGCAACCCUUGUCCUUAGUUGCCAGCACUUCGGGUGGGAACUCUAAGGAGACUGCCGGUGACAAACCGGGAGGAAGGUGGGGAUGACGUCAAGUCAUCAUGGGCCCUUAUGGGGCAGGGGCUACACACGUGCUACAAUGGGGUCGGUACAGGAGGGGUAGCCAACCAGCAAUGGGGGAGCCAA
rnacentral:rRNA from 1 species